CGGUGGAGCAUGUGGGUUUAAUUCGAAGCAACGCGAAGGAACCUUACCUGGCCUUGACAUGGCUGAGAACUUUCCAGAGAUGGAUUGGUGCCUUCGGGAACUCAGACACAGGUGCUGCAUGGCUGUCGUCAGCUCGUGUCGUGAGAUGUUGGGUUAAGUCCCGUAACGAGCGCAACCCUUGUCCUUAGUUACCAGCACCUCGGUGGCACUCUAAGGAGACUGCCGGUGACAAACCGGAGGAAGGUGGGGAUGACGUCAAGU
rnacentral:rRNA from 1 species